rnacentral:sRNA from 15 species
AAAACUCUAGCUGAUUUCUACCAAUCAUUCAGUAAUUUCUUGGAACGAGCGAAGCGCCUAAAACACAAUAAGGACUGCAAAGCUUCUCAGCAAAAUGUUAGACAGUGGUGACAGCCCUGGUCACACUUGACAGAGGGUUAUCGGUAUGAUUAGCUUGUCAAACUUUGGACGUCACAAGAAGAGCUGCCUAGUCAUUAAGAUAGAAAAAAGUCGGCCGGAAGAAAACUCGGAGUCUUAGAAAAAGACAUUACCAAGAAAAAUCAGUCGAAAGAAGAGCCAAAGAGUUCGGCAGAAAGGCUGUCGGUAGAACAGACAUCAAUAAAUUUGCAUCUCGUUGAAAAAAAGUUUCAGCAGCUAUCAAAGAUGAGCUUAGUCGCUGUGCAUGUGGCGGACGGGGAUUUCGAAUGCUCCUGCGACGACAUCGUCAGCGCCAUUAUGACUGGAAGAGCCAAGCUGCUCCUAAUCGCCAAGUCGACUCCCACCUGGCUGAGCGCCCAGCUUAUGCAUCUCGCAGAUAUAUGGCACUGCCCCCAUAUGAGCUACGCCCAC